AUGUUUUCAUGUUUCCUUAUAUUAAGAAAUACAGGCUCUGGCUAUCCCUCAUCCUCUGUAGGACUUGAAUUUGAUAUUGCAAGGGCUUCUUUUUUUAAGAUUUUAUUUAUUAUGCAUACAAUGUUCUGUCUGCACCAGAUCUCAUUAUAGAUGGUUGUAAGCCACCAUGUAGUUGCUGGGAAUUGAACUCAAGACCUCUGGAAGAGCAGUCAGUUCAGUGCUCUUAACCUCUGAGCCAUCUCUCCAGCCCUGCAAAGGCUUCUUACAGCUAUCAUUAUUGUAUCUGUUUUGUAGACAUGCAGUGAGAUCCACUGUGGGUUCAGCUUGCCUUCCUUAGGGGUUAACCAACACCUUUGCAGACUAUCUGUAUGGAAAACAGAGGAAAUUUGGAGAUAACUUGGAACACUCAAUUGAAAGAUGCUGAAGUCACUGCCCAAGCUCUCCUUCUCUUUCUGGUUCUCUACCAUGUGAUCAAGAGGAACCAGGUUGGAAGCAAAGAGCAAGCCUUCACCAGACCAAAUCUUCAGGUACCCCGAUCUUAGACCUCCUAGCCUUCAGAAGUGUGAUCAUUGGCCGCCUUCCAGCUGCAUUUUACUCCUUCACAUGGAGAAAGCCCUUCUUUUCCACCUACUCUUUCUUCCAUCCUGGACUCUGGGGAACCAGAAGUCAGCACCCUGGCAAACUGAUGAAGGACAGCAAAUAUCUCAAAGGCAAUCACCACUUCUGCUCCCUAUGGCAUGGGUGGAUGGAAGGAGAAAUUAGCACAAAAAAAAAUGUGCACACCCCAAGCUAAAAGUGACCUGGUACCUAACUUACAGGAAAACAGCCAGAAACCUGGGUAAGGCAGGCAAGAGCCUGUACCCCUGAACUCAUUGCUCCCAUCCUAUCUGCACUAACUCUGCUCCACCCUGGGCAUUUCCACACCUCUCCACUUUCACUUCAAACACCCACCAAAUGUUAGCCUCUCUGAAGCCCUUUCUGGCUCAAUUCCCACAUCAGCACAGAUCCCAUUCAUCUGGGAUCUCUUUGUUCAUACUCAGCCCACCUUGGUCCACCACUUGACACCAGCUGUGUGUGUGUGUGUGUGUGUGUGUGUGUGUGUGUGUGUGUCCAUGCCCUCCCAUUAGUGCAACUCUUGUAAGUAGAAUGACAAUUUCACUUUUGUAUGCCCCAGAACCUCACAGCAAACGCUCAACCAACAUUUGAACCUAUUUUGAGUUGCUCCUCUGCAUCUGAGCCAUUCAGAACCUGUUGUCUGGGACCUCUCCAUUGAUGUGAAGUUGCUCUGAAUUUAUCUGCUCCUGAACAGGAUGCUUCAGAACAAAUGGAGUUUGAUCAGUUGUACAAGAUGUCCAUAUUUACCAAGUACCAUGCCAAGAGCAUAAGAUAUUACAAAGAACAAAAUGGCAUGGGUGCUGCCCUCAAGAGACUACUAAUCCAAUAUUGGAAAGACAAGACACAACACACCUAGUACAACCAGGAGGGAAAGCUGGCAGUCUGUGGUUCACCUGCCUCCUAAAGAGAAGAGGAGCAGGGCCCAUUGGAGGCCUUUAUUUUUCUGUGCAUCCAGUUGGAGUCUGAUACUUGAUUUGAAGGAAGGAGUUGGGGAAGUCCACCAUGAAAAGUGAAAGCUACUUGUCUGUCUCCUUCAAAUGGUAGAAACUGGCUGGGGAGCAUCACUUAAUUGCCUGCUUUCUUUGGACCUUGUGGGUGUGUUGGGAGGAGCAGGCUGAGCAACAAGGGUUCAUGUGGCUCUCAAGAGGAAAGAGGCCUCAGCUUGCCUUUAAGCCGACAGAGCAGCAUGGUAGCUAGGAGGCUGCUGGGUGAUGAGGAACACUCAGAGCUGUACUCCCAGCCCCCUGGCCUCUCCAUUCUUGAUCUUAAUUCUGACCUGACCCUUGGUGGCACCUGAACUGUGGAACCAUGCUCUUUGAGUUUACUGGGCAUUAACACUGUGUGUUUGGAAGACAAAACACAGUAAAGACUUGUGUGUGCAGAGGAGAGCUGAUCUGAUACCAGGGGCAAGAGCAGGUCCCUUUCAAACAUGUGCUUUACGGCUUCCUCUCUACACUCUCUCUCACCUACGUGCUCUCUCUGCCUCUCUAUGGGGACUGGCCAUGGCGGUUAGCCAUUAUCCCUGUUCCUCUCCUCUUCUCUCUUACUCUCCCUACUCUGCCGGGCCCUUAUAAUAAACUAGUUAUUAUGUCUCAUGUCUCAGCAUUUCUCUUUUCUUCUUUUUAAACAAAAGAAUAACAUUUGGCGCCUGGACAUGGAAAGGCUCUGUCCUUGCACCUUCUCCCAAGGCCCGCUGGCGGGCACGUGGUAAGGCAAGGGUACCCUUACACUCGGAUCAACAACCCACACACUACAUCUCACCGGUAACUAAGGAUCUCUGGAACUCACUCAUCUGCUUGUUCGCUGCAAUCCGGUGAGAUACCCAUAACUUUUCCCAUGGGGCAGACCCAGCACUGCAUUUUGGAGUUCACUCUGGGUACAUUUUUCAGUUUCGGACUGCUGAGCCUCUUUCGGGCUUUCUGCCGGGUGCUCUCAGACAGAGCAAUCUGUGCCAUUUUUGGCCUUGCCCACGGGAAAUACAUUUUACGGGAUCUUUCAGUUACUGCCAGCGAGUAGGUAAAUGAGCAGAGUUCUGCCUCCCAGUGGGAACUUUCUUUCACCUGGGAAUGUCCCUCAUUGUUCUGUUUGUUCUAUCUCUGACUGUGUUUCUUCUUGGUUGGCAAUGUCUACUUGAGACGCUCUGAGAGUUUUUUGUGUUUGCUGGUUUUCAUUUUUCCACAUGAAUGAGGUUUGAAACUUUUCUGGCAAUUGAGAAUGUGCUUACGGGGCCACCAUCUCGGCCAUGUGGGCUAACCUGGGGGCCGCCAUCUUGGUCAUAUUGUUAGACCCCCGGAAAACUCAGAUAUCUAGGGUCCCAGGCCACGACCUCGGUCAGUCACCCCAAUCACCAGGCAGAUUCGAGAGCUUGCUGCAAACUGCAUGAGGCUUUAAUGUAAUUUAACGAGCUAACCCCAUGUUAGCUCGGGUCUUUUCAUCCACCCGCCAUGGCAAAUGGCUGGAAAAGACAGCUCCUAGGGGCUCCCGAGAGAUCUUGUAAGGCAGCGUAAGGGGAGUGUCUAAGGGUACGCACAGGCUCACGAUUGGGCACAGGCUCACGAUUGGUGUGCCUCCAGGCUUGGAGGGCUUGCCCUGUGUUGAUUGGUCAAUUGGUUGUUAUGGCCCAUAGGCCCUCCCAGGGUGGUUGCUAUGCUCUGUGCGUCAUUGCUGUGCACUUGUCCGUAAAGCACACCCAGAGCCAUAAAGCAUAGCACCACCAGCUAACUUCUGAUUGGUUCCUUGCCACGAGGCAGGCGUCUGACCUCUAAGUGACCAAGGCAAGGUUAUGGCAAGCACGUGUUACUGUCGUGGCUGCCGAAAUGGGGAGCUGGUCCCUUUAGAACCUUUCUAGUUUCAUCCAACAAGCAGGUAAACAGACAAAAGCGGCUUAUGGUGGCCACCAUCUUGGUCAUGUGACCUACCUGUAGACACGCCUAGCUCCAGCGCCUAUGCCAGCAAACUGUCUACCGGAUUUUUGAUUUCUGCCAGAUUUUUUUGCUUUUUAUUUUAUUUUAUUUUUUUGUCUGUGAUUUCUUCUUUCACUGGCUCUGUUGUUCAUGGCUUGUUUACUAAAUAAUGUGCCUUACCAGGGCCCUCUGUUUAAGUCUACUCUGUCCCUUUAAAUCUCCUGUCUGUUUGCUACAAUGUACAAAUCAAAGAUUACAUUCUGGUUCCCCCUUUUACUGUUAUCCAGUCCUGCUUGUCUCUGUACCUGUAAUUUAACUUUAUACUUAUCUAGCUCUAUAUACAACUUAAAUUAAACUAUGCUAAGUCUCAUAUUUCUAAAUUGCUAUGUAUCUUAAAAUGAUGGUAAACAUUUAAAGUCAUAAAGGUCUAAUUUAACUAUACUUAAAAUAUAAGCUAAGACUAUACAACUUAAAUUUAACUCAUGUAUCUUUAAAUGCUGAUGAAAGUUUAAAAUCAUAAAGGUCUAUUUCAAACUAACAAAAUAUUUACACCACUCAGUCCACCCUGUAAGCCAUUUACAAAGGUACAGAUUUUAUUACAAAAAGGGAUUUUUCUCUAGCUAAAGGCAAACUUAACUGCUGAGAUACUAAACAGGCAGACAGCCCUCAAAUGCUCAGAGAUCUAGAGAAUAUUUAAAAUGUUUUUUUAAAAAGCUUUUUAUAACAGAGAGAUAGGCCAGCUUCUGGCUCCACCCCAUAUCCUCCAAGAAGACUGAUGGGCACUGAAGAAACUUCAUCUCGAGUCAGUGACAACCCUAGUCACUGAGCAACCCUGCCCUUCACCUCAACUGCUAUAAAAUAAACCAGACUGUGGACAAGAGGACAACGGAAUCAACUUUCCCCGAGUUGCUUGGGCCAACGGUAGGCGAGUCUUCCUAUGGUCUGAAAUCCACAGGUCACAUGCUAUCAGCAAGAAGGCAAGAGUCCUGCAGCCCGCUACUAUGGAUGGAAGACCUUGGGGGUGGCUGUCCAUGCAGCCUGCUGGCAAGUCUCUGUUAUUCUUUAAUCAUUGAUUCAGGUAAAAUCUUAGCCUUCUCAAGAACUCUGAUGCUUUUGGCAACUGGUAGUCUUGCCAGCUUAAAGCAAAACAGAUUCCAGGAACAGGUAUUUUAGGGUUUAUCGUCGUGAAGAUAGGAAAAUGUAAAAUGAAUGAAGGUCUGAGAAUGUAGUUACGAAUGUCUGAGGAUGGAAAGGUCUAACACGGUGGAUAAAUGCAAGUUAUGAAGGUCUGAGAAUGGAAGGUCUAAUAUGGUAAUGUAAAGUGUAUGAAUUAAAGUUAUAAAGGUCUGAGGAUAAAAAGGCUUAAGUGAUAAUAAAGUGAGUUGAGACAUUAAAAAGAAUGAAAUAUGUUCCUGAUUUCUCUAUUUCUCAUGCUACUGUUCAUAGUCAGUUCUAUAAUAGUAGUUGUGUAUGAUCAUAACUACUAGGUCAAGAUUAAGAUGCUUUUCAUUGUCCUAAAAAAAAAAAUCUGUCAAUUUUAAAAUGGUAGUUCUUUCAGCCAAGUUGCUUCUAACAUGAAUAUGCUGCUAAUGUGUCUACUACUUAUGUUUCCACAAACUCUAAGGAUUCUUGUAAGUUCCAGGGCACUGAAUUGGAUCCAAACAAACAGGUCAGAUUCACUCCAGUUAUUCAAUCUUCACCUGGUUCCAGGACUCCCUUCCCUCAUGUUAGAACUCCUCGGGAACCCUUCCCUCAUCUUACAAUCUUCCUCUCAAGUGACAAGGACCUAAGAAAAGAAUUUUUUUCAAAACUCAACCUUGUCCUCUGCUCUGCCAACAUCUUCCCAGGUCUAAGAGGCGACAGGGAGUUCUGUACAGCCUGGACUGCAAUGAAACAACCAACUACCCCAGGACGUGGCAGCACCCCAACCUUCUCGGGUCCCCCAAAGAUGGUCAACACCCCCCACGUCAGCAGGAAGCAGUCUUGAGAAUUCGAUGCCCUGAUUCCUUAACCUGCCAUGUAUAACACCCCAACUUUUUUUAAUCAUAAGUAGAGGUGGGAAUGAAAGAUGAUGGGCUCUACCUCUUUAAGAGACAGGCCCUGCCCCCUGACAAUGGUCAGGGCAUGCCUUAGAAAACGUGCUAUGUCAUUGCCAUGUCACCCGUCACCCAUGAGGACUCUGCUCUGGGCAUGCGUGGAACCUCAAUGCGCAUGCGCAGUCUUCCCUUUAAAAGCUCCAACUCUCUCUGCUUCCUCUCACCUACACACUCUCUCUGCCUCUCUAUGGCGACCGGCCAUGGCUGUCAGUCAUUACCCCUUUUCCUCUCCUCUUCUCUCUUACUCUCCCUACUCUGCCAGCC
ensembl:lncRNA